GGAGGAAGGUGGGGAGUGACGUCAAAUCAUCAUGCCCCUUAUGACCUGGGCUACACACGUGCUACAAUGGCCGGUACAAAGAGUUGCGAAACUGUGAAGUUAAGCUAAUCUCAUAAAGCCGGUCUCAGUUCGGAUUGUAGUCUGCAACUCGACUACAUGAAGUCGGAAUCGCUAGUAAUCGCGAAUCAGAAUGUCGCGGUGAAUACGUUCUCGAGUCUU
rnacentral:rRNA from 1 species